rnacentral:lncRNA from 1 species
UGUUUUUUUUUGUGUAUUUAGAGUUUCUUUGUGAAUAUUUUUGCUUUAGGUACAAAAAAUUACAAACUUUCUGUUAGUGCACAUAGUUUUCAAAUUUGAAUAGUUUAAAUUUUGAAUUAUUUGAAAUUAGUGUGAAUCAUUAGUUUGUGAAUAACUUAACUUUAAAAAUCAGUAAAGGCAUGAAAGAAUUUGUUUGCACAUAAAAUUUCUUCGCGUUUCAAAUGCCAAAACACAUAACUACCCUAACUAUUAUAGAGAUUCCUCUCUGGGUGUGAAACACAGAAGAAAGUGAUGAUAGUGAAGCCGAUCACAUCCCAGAUCUUUGGGUGUGAAACUUUUUCUUCGCGUGUGUCCCUUUGAGCCGUAACCAUGGAAAAUCUUCAUCAUUUAACGGGAUGCUCGGGUCAAUAUUCACUGUGAAUGGAGCAAUUUCAUCAAACUUUUCAUAAUCUUCUGACUUGUCUGUCUUGUCAUCCACUCCCACGAUGUUUCUCUUCCCAGAAAGAACUAUGUGCCGCUUUGGCUCAUCGUACGAUGCAUUCGCUUCCUUAUCUUUUCUUUUUCUUGGCUUGGUAGACAUGUCCUUCACAUAGAAAACCUGUGCCACAUCAUUGGCUAGGACGAAUGGUUCAUCUGCAUACGCAAGAUUGUUGAGAUCCACUGUUGUCAUUCCGUACUGCGGGUCUUCCGUUACCCCGCCUCGUGUCAUAUUGACCCAUUUGCACCGAAACAAAGGGACCUUUAAACCACGUCGAUAGUCAAGUUCCCAUAUGUCCUGUAUAUAACCAUAAUAUGUUUCCUUUCCCGUCUUGGUUUCUGCAUCAAAGCGGACACCACUGUUUUGGUUGGUGCUCUUCUUAUCUUGGGCGAUCGUGUAAAAUAUAUUACCAUUUAUCUCGUACCCUUUGAAAGUCAUUAUAUUCGAAGAUGGUAACUGGGACAGCAAGUACAUGUCAUCUUCAAUAGAGGUGUCAUGCAUGGUACGUGUCUGCAACCAGCUGGUGAAACUCCUGAUUUCUUCACGUGUAAUCCAGUCAUCAGACCGCUCCGGGUGUUUGGAGCGUAGCAAAUUCUUGUGUUCAUCCAUAUACGGAGCCACCAAGGCGGAAUUCUGUAGAACUAUAUAGUGUGCUUCAGUGAGAGAAUGUCCGUCCAUACAUAUUAUUUGUUCCCUUCCUAGCGUGCCUUUUCCAUCCAGUCUGCCCUUAUGCCGCGAUUCAGGAACACCAAUCGGCUUAAGGUCAGGAAUAAAGUCAAUACAAAACUCAAUGACCUCCUCAUUUUGAUGGCCCUUGGAGAUGCUUCCUUCUGGCCUAGCACGGUUAUGAACAUAUUUCUUUAAGACUCCCAUGAACCUCUCAAAGGGGAACAUAUUGUGUAGAAAUACAGGACCCAAAACGUUAAUCUCUUCGCAUAGGUGAACUAGGACGUGCGUCAUGAUGUUGAAGAAGGAUGGUGGGAGCACCAACUCGAAACUGACAAGACAUUGCACCAAAUCAUUCUGUAACCUUGGUAUGAUUUCUGGAUCGAUUACCUUCUGAGAGAUUGCAUUGAGAAAUGCACAUAGCUUCACAAUGGCUAAUCGAACGUUUUCCGAUAGAAGCCCCCUCAAUGCAACCGGAAGCAGUUGUGUCAUAAUCACGUGGCAGUCAUGAGACUUUAGGUUCUGGAACUUUUUCUCUGGCAUGUUUAUUAUUCCCUUUAUAUUCGACGAGAAGCCAGACGGUACCUUAAUACUGAGAGGCAUUCAAAGAAGAUUUCCUUCUCUUCUUUGGUAAGAGCGUAGCUUGCAUGACCCUGAUGUAUCCCGUCUUCUCCGUGCAUACGUUGCUGGUCCUCCCGUGCCUCAGGUGUAUCUUUUGUCUUCUCAUACACGCCCAAGAAGCCAAGCAGGGUCACGCAAAGAUUCUUCGUCACGUGCAUCACGUCGAUUGCGGAGAGGACCUCUAGGUCUUUCCAAUAUGGCAGGUCCCAAAAUAUAGAUUUCUUCUUCCACAUGGGUGCGCGUCCGUCAGCGUCCUUCGGAACAGGUUGUCCGCCAGGACCCUUUCCAAAUAUCACCUUCAAAUCCUUGACCAUAUCAUGUACAUCAGCACCAGUAUGGUGGCGAGGCUUCGUCCGGUGAUCCGCCUCACCUUUGAAAUGCUUGCCUUUCUUUCUUACGGGAUGCCUGCUCGGAAGAAAUCGACGAUGUCCCAGGUACACAUUCUUCUUACAACUAUUCAAAUAUAUACUGUCGGUAUCAUCCAAACAGUGCGUGCAUCCGCAGUAUCCCUUGUUUGUCUGUCCUGAAAGGUUACUGAGAGCAGGCCAAUCAUUGAUGGUCACGAACAGCAACGCCUUUAGGUCAAAUUCUUCCCCAUGUGCUCAUCCCACACAGGUACACCUGUUCCAUUCCAUAGUUGUAAGAGUUCUUCAACUAAUGGCCUUAGGUACACAUCAAUGUCGUUGCCUGGUUGCUUAGGGCCUUGGAUGAGCACUGGCAUCAUAAUGAACUUCCGCUUUAUGCACAACCAAGGAGGAAGGUUAUACAAACAUAGUCACAGGCCAGGUGCUAUGGUUGUUGCUCUGCUCCCCAAAAGGAUUAAUGCCAUCUGCGCUUAGACCAAACCAUACGCUCCUUGCGUCAUCUGCAAACUCCUUCCCGUACUUUCUUUCAAUUUUUCUCCACUGCGACCCGUCAGCGGGUACUCUCAACUUUCCGUCUUUCUUACGGUCUUCUCUAUGCCAUUGCAUCGCCUUGGCAUGCUCUUUGUUUUGGAACAAACAUUUCAAUCGUGGUAUUAUAGGAGAAUACCACAUCACCUUGGCAGGAAUCUUCUUGCUGGGGCGCUCGCCCUCGACAUCACCAGGGUCAUCGCGGCUUAUCUUAUAGCGCAAUGCACCACAUACCGGGCAAGCGUUCAAAUCCUCGUACUCACCGCGGUAGAGGAUGCAAUCAUUAGGGCAUGCAUGUAUCUUCUGCACCUCUAACCCUAGAGGGCAGACAACCUUCUUUGCUUCGUACGUACUCUCGGGCAAUUCGUUGUCCUUUGGAAGCAUAUCCUUUAUCAUUACCAGCAACUUUCCAAAUCCCUUGUUAGAUACACCAUUCUCUGCCUUCCGUUGCAGCAAGUCUAGUGUGGUGCCCAGCUUUUUCUUGUCACCUAUGCAAUUCGGGUACAACAAUUUUUUGUGAUCCUCUAACAUGCGCUGCAACUUCUUCUUCUCCAAAUCAUUUGUGCAGUUUCUCUUUGCAUCGGCAAUGGCCCGACCUAGAUCAUCAACGGGCUCAUCUGAUGCCUCUUCUUCAGCUUCUUCCCGCAUUGCCGGCUCAACUUCUUCCCGCAUUACCGGCUCAGCUUCUUCCCCCAUUGUUGUAUCAUUGUAUUCAGGGAACCCAUGGCCAGGAUAGCUGUCGUCGUCCUCUUCUUCUUCAUUGUCUUCCAUCAUAACACCUCUUUCUCCGUGCUUGGUCCAAACAUUAUAGUGGGGCAUGAAACCGGACUCAAACAGGUGGACGUGAAUGGUUCUUGACGUAGAGUAAUUGCGACCAUUCUUACAGCCAGCACAUGGACAAGGCAUAAAACCAUCCGCCCGCUUGUUUGCCUCAGCCGCAAGCAGAAAAGUAUGCACGCCCUCAACGAACUGGGGAGAGCAUCGGUCAUCGUACAUCCAUUGCCGACUCAUCUUCAUUACACAACACCGAAUAGACCAAAUUAAUACAAGUUCAUACAUAAAGUUCAUACAACACUUAAAUGCAACAAACAAAUAACUCUCUAGCUAAAGCAUUUAAAUGCAAGAACAAAUGCGAUCAAGAUCGCAACUAAGGUAACAAUUGAUCCAACAACAUAAUGAUACCAAGCCUCACUAUCGAUGACAUAUUUUCUAAUCUUUCUAAUCUUCAAGCGCAUUUUCUCCAUCUUGAUCUUGUGAUCAUCGACGACAUGCAACUCCAAUUCCAUCUUCUCCCCCUCAAUUCUUUUCAAUUUUUCUUUCAAGUACUUGUUUUCUCUUUCAACUAAAUUUAACCUCUCGACAAUAGGGUCGGUUGGAAUUUCCGGUUCACAUACCUCCUAGAUAAAAAUAUCUAUGUCAACUUGAUGGGCAUAAUUUGUCAUAAACAUGAAAUGCAACAAAUAGUUUUAAAAGAGAAUAUACCACAUCCGAAUCAUAAUAAGGACGAGGGCCGACGGGGACGGAUAUCAAAACCAUGGCACUAUGUAUAACAAACAACGUACGGGUAAGAUAAUUAUACGAGUAACUAUAUAUCCAAAUCACACAAACAUCAAUUUUUUAUAUAAAAUUUCAUGAACAAGAGGCUCACCACAAGGUGGUGCCGGCGACGGGACGGUGCGGGCGAUCGACGGUGGUUACGACGGAGAUUUAGAAGGCACUAAGUAAAACACACCUACAUAUGCAAACUAAGUGUUAUUUUGACCUCAAAUUGCAUAUAAAUCAAAUACUACCACAUAUAAUUCCUCCCAAAUUACUAAAACCCACAAUUAAUCACUAUAUAAACCAAUGCAAGAGCUAAUCUAGCAAUGAGAGAUGAAAGGACAAAGUUGCUAACCUUGGUGAUCAUUUGAAUGGAUGGGGGCCUGCAAAUCUUGACAAAUUUGGGGUAAAUUUUGUGAUGAACUCGAGAGGAAGAAGGGAAGAACAGAGGAGAGGGAGAGGGGAAAGGGGGAAGAACAGAGUGCGGGUGGACGAAGGGUUUAUAUAGGACGACCUUUAGUACCGGUUCGUGCCACGAACCGGUACUAAAGGUGCUGGAAGGGCCUCACUCUGACAACAUCCUGCCAUCAUUUUCUUUAGUACCGGUUCGUGGCACGAACCGGUGCUAAAGGUUCGCCACGAACCGGUACUAAAGAGCUCCUCCCGCCUAGCCGUUGGAACCGGCACUAAUGGACACAUUAGUGCCGGUUCUGUUACAAACCGGGACUAAUGUGUCUCACAUUUGACCCUUUUUCUACUAGUGCAGUUACCACAAGCUGCACUAUGUCCUUUCUGUUGCACUGGCGAGUGAGCAGCCGCCGUUCACGUCAUAGGCGUUGUCACAGACUAAUCUUUUUGCUGGUUGGAUAUAAAGAUUUGUUUGGAAGAUUUGUGCUGCUGCUGCUUAUUUAAAAUUUGAUUAUUCUUUGACUAUUUGUUUUUUUUUUGAGUAGUAAUACCAACAUCUUGGGUCCGCAUCAGUCUACUAAAAUCAAGUCAUCCACUCAUGUUGUUUGUGCAGAUCUUUGUUUUCUCAUCUCAACAAGGUAGAUGAUGAAUAUUCAAACUGGCUGUAAGUGAGGUGGACCAAUGUAAACUGGCUAAAAAUAUAUUUUACGAGUGUGAUUUCUGUAACCAUACAUGUUAAUGUACAUAACAUGUUAGAGAUCUCCUUUCUCAUUGUAAGUUGUUUUAUACACAAUAAGUUUGUACAAUAUGUAGCCUUCCAAUCAGAGAUGUAUGAAUUUUAAGCUAAGUGAGGCUCUUUCAAUCUCCACACAUGAGUCUUGAGAUUGCUUUCUCCUCAGAGAGCUUGAGGACUAAUCAUAAUAAAUUGCUUCCAAGUACAGUAGUAGAUGCAGACAUAAUGAAUUCAGUACUAUAUGUUCUAUUUUCUAGAUUAUACUUGCAUCUUACGCUCCCUUUAUUAUCAAUAUCAUCUUACGCAUUUCCCAUGGUAUCACAAUUAUUGAAUGCCAUGUUCAAUCCGUAACUAUCAUAGUAGUUUCCGUUUUUUAUUGCCAUGCCGCUGAUUGGUCAUACAACAUUGAUAGGUGAGGUAAAGGAGAAGACACAUGUAGUCGUGUCAUGAUAACAGUUGCUGAAUGCAACUCAAGACUGUACGAAACCAGAAAGAAAGACAGGGUAGGCAACAUUCAAGGAGCAAACUAACUAGCGUUCAAAUAAUCUGUUGGUGAGAUCCUUAUGUAGGUGUGUUUCUCACGAAACAAGCUGUCUUAACUAUCUGAUAAGUUUGUACUAUUUCCUGGUUGUUUUUAUUGGCUUAAAUUUCUUGCAGUAUAAAUAUUUUGGCCUAUUUAGAAUUUUCGAUACAGUAUAUUGGUGCUUGGAAUUGAACUCCGCGACAAUGAUACAUUAUCAAUGCCAUUUUUGUUCCACAUUAAGGGGCUCUAUACGGUUGUCCAUUUUAAUAUUGUAUAGUCUAUGUUAUUUUUUAUUUAACCAAUUUAUAACCAUAAUUUGCCGCAACAACGCGCGGGAUAUCAUCUAGUUCUUGAUGUGGUCCGUCCCAUACCCUGGGCCAACCUGGAUUCGGCCACGCCCCGGGCUAACCUGCUUAGCUACAGUGUCGAUGCCCGCUACAGUGUCAAAAUCAGCUACAGUACACAAAGAAUUGCCAGGCCAUCGCCCCUGUUGCCUGGCUACGCCCCUGCUCUCUCUUACAAUUUUCUUUUUACUCUAAACCCAUGGCUGUACAUGUCCUGUGUGGACCUAUAGUGCUCUUUCCCUGUGAUUUUGCCUCUUUCUCUGUGAUUUUGCCUCUUUCCUCUACUUCUCUUUUCUCCUUUUUGAUUGAAGCACCAACUUCUUCUGCCAUUCGGCUCUGCAAGCAGCAUCCUUUUCCUUUCUAUGUUUUUUAAUCCGACGUGGAUCAUGGGGUAUCACUCCAGCAUGAAGCGUUGGCCAUGCCCUAAGUGUCUCACGUAAAUUAUGAAUGCAUGGUGAGCAGCAUCCGACGUGUGGCCCGAGUACGUACCUAGUACGUCCACACGCACAGCCAUGCCAGCACAGAUCACAGAUGUGUGCUUUACUGUUCAAUAAGUAUUACUGUAACUUGUGCCUGUACGCGCGCGGCCGCCUCUGACUACCCUAGAGAUUCUAGCGAUAAAAAAAAUUUGAUACUCGUAGGGACAGUGUUUUUGCAGGCACGCUUUAACACAUACGGUCUACACGUUAGCUGGCUGGAACAGCAGCCAGUGGUCAUACCCAGCUGCUGCUUGAUCAUUUUGGGCUGCUCUUCGACCAACUCUGCUAGCUGGACUGUAUAGUUACUAGCGUGUAGUGCGCAGCGGCACGCCGCGCCAUACUGAUUGUUGUGCGACGAUUUUCCUUUUGAAGCUCUUAAAACUUUGUUUAGUACUUGGUUGAUAACAUAGUCAUUCACACAUAUAGAUAAGGUUCAUUGAGUCAACACAGGCAGAGUGCAACGUUUCUACUUUCCACUUAGAUUUGAGAUCCUCGGCUAAGUUUGUUUCUUUGAUACAGUGGUAGAGAACUGGCACCGCGCUUUAUUUGCAUGUUUCAGUGAAGUUUUGUAUAUAUUGAGAAAAGGCUCAUGUGUUGGUUAUCCAUUUGUUGGUUUCUUCAGGAAUGUGAUUCUUGCCUACAGGUGUACAUGCAAACAUAGAUUGAUGACUAUAAGUAGGGUCUGUUGGUAACUUGGUAAUGCAUAACUCAUCGCCCAUAGUAAGCCUACACACUUAUAAGCCAAUUACACCAUCGUCGCCGGUUGGGGUGCGGAGAGGGGAGAUGGAGAGGCGGCGCGCUGGCGCCUAGGAUAAGGAGUGAGGAAUCGAUCGGGAGUUGUGGCUAGGGUAGGAGGGGAUUGCUGGAGGCUACGUACUGUGAAGAAAGAAGGGCACAUACAUGAGCAAAGACUUGAGAUGUUGGGUUGUGCGUGGGCCGGGCUUUUACGCAGGCAUUUGUCCAUGUGCAUCUAAUCUGUCUGAUCGAUUACUUUGGUUAACUAAAGUACAAGACCGGAAUUCCUAAAUUAAUUUUGGUUCUUACAAAGUGCAGACUGAACUAAGAAUUGGAAUUUUCGGCUUCGGUCUUUUCGGAUUCGGUCCCGGUUUUUUCUGUUCGGUAGUUGGGUGCUAGGUUAAUAUGCCCACCCCUACAUGCAUGUAUAGCCACUCAAUAAAAACAGAACAGUUUUUCAAACCAUGCAAGCAGUCACUGUUCACGUAACAUGCAAUUAACUGAUAUCUGCUAUAUAUAUCACCCAUCAAUAUACGUGCUGGGAUUUCAUCAAUUAUUAGUCCAAGUCUAUUAACUCUACUCUCUUCGGACAGUAGGUUUGUAAGGAGAAAUAGCAAUAAACCAAUGAAAAAAUAGGAGCUUCACAAAAGUAUCGAUUUAGUGCCUGUUCGGUUUCUCUCCGCUCCCGUGACUCAGAUCCCGGAGCGGAGCAGGCUGUUGCAGCUUUUUAUGGAGCAGCUCAAACCGAGCUCUGCAGCUCCGUGGAGAACGGAGUGGAGAGAUUCCAAACAGGGCCUUACUCUUAGAAAAAAUGACGUUGUAUUCUUUUACAUUCAGAAAUUAGCUGCUCUGAAUACACAUACCAAGUGUUUAACAUGCAACUGCUUACAUAGACUGAGAAUACACAUAUACUGCAUACCACACAACCACAACCAUGCAUGAGUGUUGUCAACACCCGGGUCAGUAGCAACCGUCACCAGUCCUCAUUGGCCAUAAAUAAAAUAUAGAAAAAAUUCUGCAUAGUCCACCCAUUGUUGCAUGCACACUUGUCAUUUUUUUUGCUAAACCAACCCACCAAUUAAUGAUGAGAAUCCUCAUACAGAUGCAUCCCUACAAAUACUAAAUCAAACUUAAACGAAAGGAAGUCACUAACACCAAUUGUCAUGCAACCAGCCAAUAUGAGAAAAGAAACACAGGUCAUGAAACCAUUAGUCAGUGGGAAUCAAAUCAAAGCAUAUGCAGUCAUUAAUUGACUCUCAAGAGGACUCGCAUGUAGAUGAAUGAGGCGAGACAAAUAGUAGGUCCUAAGUUAAAAACGUGCAAGAUUAUGAAGUUGUCCUGUCAGUUCAUGUUUACAUAUCCGCAAGAAGUUUUGUGCGUAAGAAAGUUUUCAGUAAGUAGUUUUCAGUAAGCUGAAGAGAGUCUUGUGCUUUGAGAGCUUAUCUUCUGAAGGCGAGAAACAAUCACCGAACGCCGUCGCUGCACCAGAGACGGAAGUAAUCCCGCCAUCGAGAGGACAACGAAAGGGGGGCGUCGCCAAAUCUGUGCUGAUUGGGAGAACUUGUGCUGGAGAAAUAACGUAUGUAACACAUCGCUGACCAAGACGCUUGAUCUGUAGCCGGCGAGGAAAAAAUAGCAGCUUCACACUGCUUCUAUUUGUGCUUCCACCUUCCCACGUUGGCAUUCUGUAUGGCGAUCGGUGACUUUGCUAGCUCUUGCACUAUUCAUGCUUCCGUAUCAAGCACCGGUUGCAGGUCUGUUCAUUCAGAUCAAGGGCCAGCUAGCAUUUGACUCCCGUAGUCCGCAGGAAAAGGGCGUGGUGGAGAGGGUGACUUGCUGCUGGGAGGAUCUAGCGAGAGCACGAAAGAAGAGGCG